rnacentral:rRNA from 1 species
GACGAACGCUGGCGGCGUGCUUAACACAUGCAAGUCGAACGGAAAGGCCCUGCUUUUGUGGGGUGCUCGAGUGGCGAACGGGUGAGUAACACGUGAGUAACCUGCCCUUGACUUUGGGAUAACUUCAGGAAACUGGGGCUAAUACCGGAUAGGAGCUCCUGCUGCACGGUGGGGGUUGGAAAGUUUCGGCGGUUGGGGAUGGACUCGCGGCUUAUCAGCUUGUUGGUGGGGUAGUGGCUUACCAAGGCUUUGACGGGUAGCCGGCCUGAGAGGGUGACCGGCCACAUUGGUACUGAGAUACGGCCCAGACUCCUACGGGAGGCAGCAGUGGGGAAUAUUGCACAAUGGGCGGAAGCCUGAUGCAGCAACGCCGCGUGCGGGAUGACGGCCUUCGGGUUGUAAACCGCUUUCGCCUGUGACGAAGCGUGAGUGACGGUAAUGGGUAAAGAAGCACCGGCUAACUACGUG